GGAUGUGAGGGUGAUCUGGCUGUGACAUCUGCCACACAUUGAUCACCAGGGUUCAUUUGGCUGAUCUGGCCUGCUGGGCAGGUGUCCCCUUCCUCCCUGACCGCUCCAUGUGUGUCCCUCCCAAAGCUGCACACUCAGUCAAAGAGGACAACUAUUCCCGAUAGAGGAGGGACAGUCUUCAGUGAAGGGCACAAAAGUAGCUGCGCUCCCCAGCUAGAACCACCAAACAAGCUCUCAAAGUCUACAUUAUUUAUCCUCAAAUGAUACUGCCUCUCUAAAGAGAAAAUCGAAAAAUUCAGGAAGACUGCUUCUUACAUGUGGCCAGGGCUAUAUGUGGUAGAUAUUCCUUAACCA
rnacentral:snRNA from 1 species